GACGUAGGGGGCGAGCGUUGUCCGGAAUCACUGGGCGUAAAGGGCGCGUAGGCGGCCUGGCAAGUCGGAUGUGAAAGGCCCCGGCUCAACCGGGGAGGUGCAUCCGAAACUGCCGGGCUUGAGGGCAGGAGAGGGCAGCGGAAUUCCCGGUGGAGCGGUGAAAUGCGUAGAGAUCGGGAGGAACACCAGUGGCGAAGGCGGCUGCCUGGCCUGGCCCUGACGCUGAGGCGCGACAGCGUGGGGAGCGAACGGG
rnacentral:rRNA from 1 species